UCAUCAUUCGCCGCCUGAAGAGACAAGAUGGCGGAGCUUGCGAAAUCGAAAAUUGGUACUUGAAAGUCAAUGGUUGAUCAUGAUGACCAUAUUUUAUUUAAUGGAGAAAGAAACCAAUAUUUGCAGCUGGACAGGUUGUCACCACAGUUCAAUGAUUUAGGUCAGACAUCAGCUUUUGAAGUUGCUUUCUUGGCACAUCAUGCUGUCCAGUGGAGUUCAUACCAUAUGCCAGGCCU
rnacentral:lncRNA from 1 species